UACGAAGGGGGCUAGCGUUGUUCGGAAUUACUGGGCGUAAAGCGCACGUAGGCGGAUAUUUAAGUCAGGGGUGAAAUCCCAGAGCUCAACUCUGGAACUGCCUUUGAUACUGGGUAUCUUGAGUAUGGAAGAGGUAAGUGGAAUUGCGAGUGUAGAGGUGAAAUUCGUAGAUAUUCGCAAGAACACCAGUGGCGAAGGCGGCUCACUGGCCCGGUACUGACGCUGAGGUGCGAAAGCGUGGGGAGCAACAGG
rnacentral:rRNA from 1 species